UAGAAUUCCACGUGUAGCGGUGAAAUGCGUAGAGAUGUGGAGGAAUACCGGUGGCGAAGGCGGCCUUCUGGACAGAUACUGACGCUGAGAUGCGAAAGCGUGGGGAGCAAACAGGAUUAGAUACCCUGGUAGUCCACGCUGUAAACGAUGUCGAUUUGGAGUUUGUUGCCUAGAGUGAUGGGCUCCGAAGCUAACGCGAUAAAUCGACCGCCUGGGGAGUACGGCCGCAAGGUUAAAACUCAAAUGAAUUGACGGGGGCCCGCACAAGCGGUGGGGCAUGUGGUUUAAUUCGAUGCAACGCGAAGAACCUUACCUGGUCUUGACAUCCACAGAAUCUUGCAGAGAUGCGAGAGUGCCUUCGGGAACUGUGAGACAGGUGCUGCAUGGCUGUCGUCAGCUCGUGUUGUGAAAUGUUGGGUUAAGUCCCGCAACGAGCGCAACCCUUAUCCUUUGUUGCCAUCGGUUAGGCCGGGAACUCAAAGGAGACUGCCGUUGAUAAAGCGGAGGAAGGUGGGGACGACGUCAAGUCAUCAUGGCCCUUACGACCAGGGCUACACACGUGCUACAAUGGCGUAUACAAAGGGAGGCGACCUCGCGAGAGCAAGCGGACCUCAUAAAGUACGUCUAAGUCCGGAUUGGAGUCUGCAACUCGACUCCAUGAAGUCGGAAUCGCUAGUAAUCGUGAAUCAGAAUGU
rnacentral:rRNA from 1 species